rnacentral:rRNA from 1 species
GACGAACGCUGGCGGCGUGCUUAACACAUGCAAGUCGAACGGAAAGGCCCUGCUUUUGUGGGGUGCUCGAGUGGCGAACGGGUGAGUAACACGUGAGUAACCUGCCCUUGACUUUGGGAUAACUUCAGGAAACUGGGGCUAAUACCGGAUAGGAGCUCCUGCUGCAUGGUGGGGGUUGGAAAGUUUCGGCGGUUGUGGAUGGACUCGCGGCUUAUCAGCUUGUUGGUGGAGUAGUGGCGUACCAAGGCUUUGACGGGUAGCCGGCCUGAGAGGGUGACCGGCCACAUUGGGACUGCGAUACGGACCAGACUGCUACGGGAGGCAGCAGUGGGGAAUAUUGCACAAUGGGCGGAAGCCUGAUGCAGCAACGCCGCGUGCGGGAUGACGGCCUUCGGGUUGUAAACCGCUUUCGCCUGUGACGAAGCGUGAGUGACGGUAAUGGGUAAAGAAGCACCGGCUAACUACGUG